rnacentral:rRNA from 1 species
CUUUUAACAACGGAUACCUUGGUUCCCCGAUCGAUGAAGAACGCGGCAAAAUGCGAUACGUCAUGUGGAUUGCAGAUAACAGUGAAUCAUCGAAACUUUGAACGCAUCAUGCACUCUCGGUAUUUGACUAGGAGUGCGUCUGUUUGAGUGUCGC